rnacentral:rRNA from 1 species
UACGUAGGGGCCUAGCGUUGUCCGGAUUUAUUGGGCGUAAAGAGCUCGUAGGCGGUUCGGCAAGUCGGAUGUGAAAUCUCCACGCUCAACGUGGAGGGGCCAUUCGAAACUGCCGUGACUCGAGUCCGGUAGGGGAGUGUGGGAUUCCCGGUGUAGCGGUGAAAUGCGCAGAUAUCGGGAGGAACACCUGUGGCGAAAGCGGCUCACUGGACCACAACUGACGCUGAGGCGCGAAAGCUAGGGGAGCAAACAGG